rnacentral:rRNA from 1 species
UACGUAGGGGGCAAGCGUUAUCCGGAAUUACUGGGCGUAAAGGGUUCGCAGGCGGAAAUUUAAGUCAGAUGUAAAAGGCAGUAGCUUAACUACUGUAAGCAUUUGAAACUGGAUAUCUUGAGAAGAGUAGAGGUAAGUGGAAUUUUUAGUGUAGCGGUGAAAUGCGUAGAUAUUUAAAAGAAUACCGGUGGCGAAGGCGACUUACUGGGCUGAUUCUGACGCUGAGGAACGAAAGCGUGGGUAGCAAACAGG